GGUUCAGGACCCCACUACUUCAAGGAAAGAAGUUCCGUGUAUAAUAAGGAUUGUUAAUCGUGGUGCAGUGGACAAGUAUGUGGACCGGUUAUUAGUGGGGUGUUGAAGUUCGUUGCAGCUAGCAGAGCUACAGUUUGUUGCUACUUGCUAGUUAUUUUUAUCUUUUGCUUUUCAAUUUAGAAUGCGAGCAGAUAUUAGCUCGAUGGAAUUAUUUGGGGUACGUUACUUCAACAUUAUCCUCGUAAUGGCCUAUUUGUAUUGAAUUUUCAAUAUGCACGAACCGAUAGCAAUAUGUGAAAUUGACAAAUUCACAUGCAUGCAAAUUAGUUAGAAGCACUCCUGGUUGAGCAAGUAAUUAUUAGUAGAAUUCAACGGAAAUAGAUUCAACUGGAUAUUUUAAAGGCGAGUCUUGAUUUGGCGCUGUUCGUGGAGUGGGGCGCUAUCCUAGUCCCAGGUGGAAAGUCCCUGCGACGGAGGUUGUCCAGUCCACGGCAGUUGAGAGUUUGGCAACCGAGAACGGCAACAUCAGAAAACAAAAUUACUUUCAUUUUUGUAUGUAUGCAAGCCAAAGAAUACAUUACUAAACCAUAUUUGCCUCUUGAAAGUACUUAUCUUUCUUUGCAAACAACCUUUGAGUAGCAUUAUCAAUGAAUUCACGUGAUAUGUCCCACACGACUUCGAACGAUUUAAACGUUGGUGUGGUCAUACGCCUAUUACAUUACAUUAUUAUUCAGCUCACUCCCCAUUGGGACCUUUCAUUGACUCACCUAGCUUAGACUAUUUAUCUUUACAACAAUUGCGAUAUUACUUUCCUAACUGUGUUUAUCCUAACCCACCCUGUCAACUUUCCCUGUGGGAGGAAACCGGAGCGCCCGGAAAAAAACCACGACAGAGCGUUGACUGACUCUUUUCACAUGAGCCGUAGCGAGAAUCGAACCCACGAUCUCAGAGGCGAAAGGCGCUUUCUCUAACGACUGCGCCACCGAAGCCUGUGAAAAUGAUGUAAAUAACAUAGCAGUUUGAACAACUACGGCGUACUAGAAAGCUCGAGGGAAUACAUUUUAUAGUCACCUUUGUCUUAGGGUAAAAUUCUAUUGUUGAUGAUUACGUUUUCGUUGACCUUGCCGUUUUUUUUCCAAACUCACUAUUGUGCAUAGUUACUGAGGGUGUUACUGAAGUGAUCUGGGAGAGGGAGCAGUUGCCCCCACCUCCUAGUGCCCGCCACUGAAUUCCAGGGGCAUCCAAAUAACAAUAAAUUCAUAACCACUGAUCAGUGGCGAAGGUAGCCAUGGCAAAUGGUCAUGCUAUGCUAAUGAACCCGCAUCUAAAUAGGUUAAAAACAAUACAUUUAUAAAGGUUUGAAUAAUGCAAGUCAUCAAUAGCAUGACCUGUUGCAUUGCCACUGAUGUUGACAAACCUUCGACCUUGAAGAAAAAUAGACAAUCAAGGUUGGAUAUCUCGAACUGCAAGUUAGGGGUUACUGGCAAUCUGACAAAAUUUCAUCAUGAGUGUUAAAUGUAAAGUUUUUCUUGUUUGAUAAUUGCUUCACCAAAUCAAAAAAAAAAGGAUUUGAUUAGGAGAUUGGCUCCCCCUUGGCCGAGGAAAGUUUCGGGGGUUGUGCAUCCCAAUUUCCAAUCCCUGUUAAUGAGCAGAAUAUUUGUCAGUUUUUAAACGAGAUGAUUGCGUACUCAUCAUAUUCUGUCAUUUGUGUAGAGUGCAAAUAUAAAUGUGGACUUUUGGGACUUCAGGAAUAAACUCCUUCAAAACUUUGAAAAGUAGAGAGGUAAUUUUGUUCGAAAAUGUCUGCCAAUUACAAAUAUACUGAAUUGUAAUGAAAUUGUUUCUAUGAACCAAAAAAGUCUUUCCCUUUUACGAGCAAAACUCUGUGACUAUGCUAAGGGUUUUUUUUUACAUUGCAGAGAAAGGGAGUGAAGCAAGACUGAUGGUGUUGACACGUAAAGCCGGUUACCGACGAUGAUGUUUUGCAUAUGACAAGUUUUACAAAACAACAACAAUAUAUCGCUGUCCUACCGCAUCCAAGUGCUCAAAUUAAUUUGUCAACUUCUCUUUGUUGACCUACACACAGACUAGCAAAACUUGUAUUUUGCCAGUUUUUCUAUGACUUGUUCAAAAGCUACAAUCCCAUCCUGGUCAAAGCCAUUUUCCUGGUAAAACAUAUGGAAAACUCUGUGGAAUGUUUUUACUAUCAGACCGAAAUUUUGUCAUAAUUGGAAGUGUCGCAGAUGUUUUGUCCAGGGGCCGAUUGUAGUAAUGCUAGGUUUUGAACAAGUGCACUACUUGUCAUAUUGAAAAACUUGUGAAAGUUGAUAAUGCAAACGAGCAAAUAUAACUUGUCAUGUGAAAACAUGUCAUAGUUUUCUUGCUCGUCUGUAACUGGCUUAAUUUAAGAAGAGUUAUUUAAGAAACCAGGUCAUAGCCAUUAGCCAUUAUGGAAUGAAGAGAUCAGAAGAUGAGGGUUGGUACACAUUAAUUGCAGAGAAUGUGAGAGAAGUAAGCAUGAGAUGGCAUGGACACGUAAUAGAAAGUCAUGAAAGAGCAAGGCAUAUUUUAACAAAUACUAAGUUUAACAUUUGGCCUCCCAGGUGCGAAAUUGACCCCCACUCCUUUGGACUUUUUGACACAUUUUUGUGUGAAAUCAUGAAAUGUGAAUGUGGUAAGUCUUCGUCUGUUUUUUUCGUAGUUAAUGAGAGUAUAUGAAGAAAUUCUUGAGGGAUUCGUCUGGAUGUUUAUAAACUUUAACUUUUAGACAGUGACUUUGAGUUAAAAUACAUGUUGAAAGACAAGCACAUUGCGAUUAAAAGUGUUAAACAUUAACUUUUUAUAGUAUUCAGAAUUAUUUAAAAUGCCCCCCAAAACGCACUAAAUAGCAAUUCUGGAGUCUCCAGAUUUCGGAAUUUUCCGGGGGAGGAUCCCCCGUACAAAACUCGUGCCUUCGGCGAUUGCUUAAUGGACCCUUUCCAUGUUAUAGUCCCCCACUUGUAAAUCUUUAAAAUAUGCCUUGUGAAAGAGAGCUGGCCAGAGACAUAGAAUGAAGAGACCAAUGGGUUGGUACUUGGUAGGCAUUGCAAUAAAGGCGAGGGAAGUAAGAAUGAGAUGAUUGGUCGACAUGUAAUCAGAAGAGAUAAAGGAGAGCUGGUCAGGGACAUGGAGAUCAAAAGAACAUGUGGGUUGGUAGACACUGCAGAGAAGGUGUGGGAAGUAAGAAUGAGAUGUAUGGAUACGUGAUACUAAGAGAUGAAGGAAAGCUAGUUAGAUACAUGGAAUGAAGAGGAAUCAGAAGAUGUAGGGUGAUAGACAUUGUAAAGAAGGUGAGGGAAGUAAGAAUGGGAUGAAUGGACACGUUAUAUGCAGAGAUGAAAGAGAGCUCGUCAGAGGCAUGGAAUGAAGGGGAAUUAGACGAUGCAAGCUGGCCGCCGAUUAAUCGAACAAAAAACAAAGUGUAAUAAAAUACUUAGAAUUUUAAUGUUUGCUUAGAAUUUUAAUGUUAGGUAUAUAUUCAAAAUUAUCAAAUAUACUAUAAAUUGGGUUCAAAUACUAAGAAAAAGUACUAUUUAAUAAAAUAAUAUUUUAGUGGCGAAUAUUCUAGAAUAUUUUGCUUACAUGUAAUAACG
rnacentral:lncRNA from 1 species